GAACAACACAGCAGCAGAAGAAGCGCCCAGCAGAAGAGGCCAGUCCACACCUGCAGUACGGACACACAUGGAAGUGCAGAUCCCCUUGAUGAAGCCACAUUUGCAGUGAUCUUAGAGAGCUUACCUGAAGAAGAUGAUGUCUCUACCUUUAGUCACAGACACAGCCACGCUUCUGUCAGAAUUGCUCCACAUGCUGCCCAGCAGGACGCUGUAUUGGCACUCAUACAAAGCCACAGAGGAGUCUUGGACUGGGAGGGGGAACACUGCUUGAUGCUGGGUUACUGGAGUCCUUUGGGUGGCAACAGGAGCUUCAUUGUCUGCCAGGAAGAGGGAGAACGUGGCACCGGGGUACGCAGCCGAGCCGGCGCAGAGCAAGUGCCACACAUCUGUCUGCUGCAGGACGAGGCUGGGCGUUGGCAGCUUGUCUGAGGAAACAGAGGUCCAACAAGAUGAUUUGUUGAUGGAGGUUAAUGCCCAAAUAUUGGACUAGAAUAUUCUUAAUACUUUAUAUAAGGAAACUGCAAAAAAUCAUCAAGAACAUUCUCACCUGCAAUGAUGAUUUUAAUCACAUUGCUGGCGGUUGAGUUAACCAAUCCCCGUCCUUUGGUAAUCUGGUAGAAGCAGGUGUACUCGCCCUCGUCUCCUUUCCUCACUGGUCCCACUGUGAAAUGCCCAGGCAGUGGGGUGUCUGAAACCCGACUGGCCUUAGGGCUUAGGAUGACCGAUGUAGACCCUGCAGGAUGAGAAGUCCUCAGCAGGAGAAAAGAUGAAGGCUUCUGGGACUGGGAUUGAGACUGGGAUUGAGGAGUGGGGAUGCUGCAGCUGAAACGGAGAGUGGCUCCUGGUUUUACCACGUCUGUGGGGGGGUCCACAGACAAGAGCGGAGGGGGGAUUGAAGGCAAGACAGUAGGGGCAUCAUCUGCAAAACAAAAAAAAGAAAGUCAUAUUUUUUUCUAAAUGAGAAGUUAAAAACAUGUCAAUUAAUAUUUUUGAUUUAUUUUAUUUUUUUAACUUUAUUUAUUUUACCAUUGACUGUGAUAAAUGACCCCUAAAGGACCAAAAUUUGUUGCAGAAUAAAAUGCUUUUAUGAUGCAGUGAUUAUUAUUUUUUGCUGAAUUGCUUGUCUUUGUGAUAUACAUUUGCCAAAUUUGGAGCAGAACCACAGUGAGUAACUGUCACCAGCAGAGCGAGUACAGUUGUGUUUGAUGGUUUGUCUGUGUGAGAGGGUGUGUGUGGUUUCCAUACGAGCUGCAGGAUGUAACUACUACCAGACACACCCACAGUUCUGAGGACAAUAAGAGACCGCAGAGAGCACCUGCAUGUGGCAGUGGGUUUUGUGUGCAAAGUGAAGCGGAUGGGAGUGUUUAUUAUUUUAUACCAUGGUGGCUGGCUGUGAAACGAAUCCCAUCUGAAAAUGCACUUUGAUUGUUGGAACGUGGCGUCAAAAACAAACUAACCGUUGUGGUCGUCUAAAUCCAAGUAGGGACUUAUUAAACUGUAGAGUCCCUGCUGGUCCUUGUACAGGCAGCAGAAGAUUUUAGGCUUUUCCGUGUCCACCCUGACGGUGAACUGGACCUCCUCAGCCCCAUACUGUAAGUUCACUAAGUCCACCUCCACAAGACAAGAAAAAAAAAGUUAGAACGAGUUGUUAGAAAAUAUACACACAUAUAUUCAAACAUCAGUACCUCCUCUCUUUCCUGGAACAGCUUGAACAGAACUCCAUGGUUGCCUUUUGGGGCCUGACAAACCAGAACCACAGAAUAGAUUGACCUGACUUUGACUUUUAAGGUCGGUGUUGGAAGAGGGGCCGGGGACGUCGAGGCAAAAACUCUUCCUACUUAAAGAAAAAUAAAAAAA